CUAUUUUGGUCAUUUGGGACUAAGUUUACUCCCUAUUUGGUUCAGUAAUGUGGGCUUGCAUCUGCUCGCGUAUCACAUGAUAUGGGGUGAAUAAUUUAGCUCCGGUUUGUUGGUUGGUGACGUGUUGAAAAAUAUUUACCUGUGGUUUAUGUUUGGCAUCGUGUCGUAUCAAGCUCAGCUGUCCAUUCACUGAGUUCUGUACAUUUACCUGGUCAUGGUACUUGUGGGUUCUGCUUUAUGAAGAUGAUUGCAUUUUAUUGAUGUGCUUGGGUUGGCAUGCGUCUCAGUUUUUCAUGUUGAAAUGUUUAAUUCCACUUGCCAUGAUCUUGGUCCUAUGCCUAUGCUACAACCGUGCAAGUGCAGUCUACUGAUCAUGCAAAAUAUGAAAUGUAGAUAAGGUUGAUGCCAUCUAAAUUUUGUGAACGCGAUGUUUAUUUCUUUAUAUGAAGAGGGGCUGAUGUCCCUGUGGGAGUCCAGCUUGUGAGGAUAUGAGAUUAUGAAUAAUUUGUCAGUGUAGAUAAGGCUGCUUCCGCAAUUGUCAUUCUUAAUUUACUUGCUUAGUCAUGCUAGAUUUAUGUGUCGAGGAUCAGGGUUAGUGGUUUUGUCGAUAUCCUCUCGCUUACUGACAAUAAUAGGUUAAUUUGGAUAAAUUUAACUGAAUUUGAUUUUUCAGAUCGGUUUUUUCAAACCUGAUCAUUUUGCAAGCGGUUUCGUUUUCUCGAUUUGGAUUGGCUCGAUAAGUAGAACAAAUUGAUAAUCGAUUGGUUGCCUUGCAGUUCAAUCUUUUUUUUAUUUUAACCAUAAGUGAACUGGUUUACUAACAAUUAAAAUAAUUUUUUACUAAAACGUUUAUCUUUGUAUGGCAAAGACUAACAAAUAAAAUAGGAUGAAAAAGAAAUCCUAAAAUUAAGUUUUUAAACCUUGCGUUGGCACA
rnacentral:lncRNA from 1 species